AUCUUUAAUAGCCUAGUGGAUAUGGCAUCUGCCCGGUAAGCGGAACACUGUGGGUUCGAUUCCCUUCUCUGGACA